rnacentral:rRNA from 1 species
UACGGAGGGUGCAAGCGUUAAUCGGAAUUACUGGGCGUAAAGCGCACGCAGGCGGUUGGAUAAGUUAGAUGUGAAAGCCCCGGGCUCAACCUGGGAAUUGCAUUUAAAACUGUCCAGCUAGAGUCUUGUAGAGGGGGGUAGAAUUCCAGGUGUAGCGGUGAAAUGCGUAGAGAUCUGGAGAAAUACCGGUGGCGAAGGCGGCCCCCUGGACAAAGACUGACGCUCAGGUGCGAAAGCGUGGGGAGCAAACAGG